UACGUAGGUGGCAAGCGUUGUCCGGAUUUACUGGGCGUAAAGAGCGCGCAGGCGGCCAAGUCAGUCGAAUGUGAAAGCCCCCCGGCUUAACUGGGGGAGGGUCAUUCGAUACUGCUUGGCUCGAAGACAGGAGAGGGAAGCGGAAUUCCCGGUGUAGUGGUGAAAUGCGUAGAGAUCGGGAGGAACACCAGUGGCGAAGGCGGCUUCGCGUGGCCGGUCCUGACACUGAGGCGCGAAGGCGUGGGGAGCGAACGGG
rnacentral:rRNA from 1 species